AAAAAGAACCUGAAACCGUGUACGUACAAGCAGUAGGAGCCCCAUCACUCAAGUGCCUCGCACUGAGUGAUGCAAUAACAUCACCGAAAAUAGCGCCGAAUUUGCUAACAAGGUUGGUCGAUUUUUUUAAGCCGUCGCGCAGUGUACCUAGAAGUACACGAGCAACGGAAGUUAAAAAAUCGGGCAAGAUUGAACGCAAAGGCAAGCGGGACAUUUGAGGAUGGGGUGACUGCGUACCUUUUGUAUAAUGGGUCA
rnacentral:rRNA from 1 species